GGGGCCGUAGGCUAGCUUGGUCUAGACUGCGAGGCUUGGGCCCUCGUGACCCCGGUUCAAAUCCGGGCGGCCCCACCA
rnacentral:tRNA from 2 species